CUAGGAGCCCGGCGGCUAAUCAGCGGGUCAAUCAGAAAUGAUAAAUAACACACUGUAAAAGCAAACAUGGUGUUUAAUUAAAAAUAUUAAAUUGACCUUAAUCAGUUUUUGUCAACCUGCUAUUAACACUCACUUUUAUUAAGUUACUUGUACUUUGAGGUUGAAAAAUCUUACCAGCUCAGUCUACUUGAGCUGGAUUAAUUUAGAAAAAGUAAGUUUAUGACACUGUGGGCAUGCGCAGAUCAAUCAAUCAUCCCCAACCAAUCAAGCUGCUUCGUAGGCGGGUCUUGACGUGGCGGGAUUCGUAAUUUUGCAAACGGUAUGUCACCGCAACUGACCGACCAGAUGAAGCUGGAUAUCAUUGAGCUGGACCUAAACAUCGCUUUAACGGCAGUUGUGAUUAUUGUCAGCGUAACAGCGAUUCUUGUGCUUGGCACACUCAUUUGUUUCCUUCCAGGCACAAGCAGAUGGUGAUCAAUCCACACAUUCCAUAAUCCCAGCAAUAAAAGAUUUUCAAACAGUUAUCAAAAUGGACCAGAGGUUGUUACUGAGAGCCAUCAUCGCUGAAGAUGAUAUAAGUAAGUUGACUUUAAUUAAGAGACCACAGUCCAUUGAAGAAUUCAAAGUGCAACUGGUGGAUAAACUGUCACUGCAGUAUGACUUUAAACUGCAGUAUGAAGAUCAAGACUCCAAUAAUGCCCUCUGCAAUUUGACUGAAAUAACUGAUUUACCUGAAAGAGCUACAG